rnacentral:rRNA from 1 species
CCUACGGGUGGCAGCAGUGAGGAAUAUUGGUCAAUGGCCGAGAGGCUGAACCAGCCAAGUCGCGUGAGGGAAUAAUGUCCUAUGGAUUGUAAACCUCUUUUGUCAGGGAGCAAAGUCACCCACGUGUGGGUGUUGGAGAGUACCUGAAGAAAAAGCAUCGGUUAACUCCGUGCCAGCAGCCGCGGUAAUACGGGGGAUGCGAGCGUUAUCCGGAUUUAUUGGGUUAAAGGGGUGCGUAGGCGGGUUAUCAAGUCAGCGGUAAAAUCGUGGAGCUCAACUCCAUCCAGCCGUUGAAACUGAUGAUCGUGAGUGGGCGAGAAGGAUGCGGAAUGCGCGGUGUAGCGGUGAAAUGCAUAGAUAUCACGCAGAACACUGAUGGCGAAGGCAGGAUACCGGAG